GACGUAGGGGGCGAGCGUUGUCCGGAUUUAUUGGGCGUAAAGCGUGCGUAGGCGGCUGCGCAAGUCGGUUGUGAAACCCCGGGGCUCAACCCCGGAACUGCAUCCGAUACUGCUGUGACUUGAGUUCGGUAGGGGAGUGGGGAAUUCCUAGUGUAGCGGUGAAAUGCGCAGAUAUUAGGAGGAACACCGGUGGCGAAGGCGCCACUCUGGGCCGAAACUGACGCUGAGGAGCGAAAGCAUGGGUAGCAAACAGG
rnacentral:rRNA from 1 species